GGUCCCGUAGCUCAGCUGGAUAGAGCACCGAACUUCUAAUUCGGGGGUCGCACGUUCGAAUCGUGCCGGGAUCGCCA
rnacentral:tRNA from 1 species